GGCUCUGUGGCACAAUGGAUAGUGCAUUGGACUUCUAAUUCAAAGGUUGUGGGUUCGAGUCCCACCAGAGUCA
rnacentral:tRNA from 1 species